GAUUUGCAGACUUGUGAAGCUGCCCCUUGCAACGACUGUUUCCCGUGGGUACAACAAGGCUGCACAAAGCAACUCAAAGAAUGAAAAGGCAUGACUCCUGGAGGCUCAGGGGCUUCAUGUGCGAUGUUCCUUGGACAGACUCCUGCCUUCUACGGUGGUGAUUGUCUCCUUCUGUAGCCAUCACCUUUCUUGAGGCAGGUAGAGUAAAACCAGGCAGCCAGAUAUAGUUUGAUAGGGAAAGCUCUUCCUGUCAGACACUGUCAGCUGUCACAGUA
rnacentral:snoRNA from 1 species